AAAUAGUGACUUUCUAUGGCACCUUAUAGCAGCCCCUCUGGCAUUUGCCAGAACCCACAGAUUGCCUGUCCGGGCCUGCAUCUCAGCAUUGGUGGGACAUAUUCUGUUUAUGUUGCAAGACUGAGGUUAACUGUUUCAAGCCCUCAUCAGCUCAGUCAAGAAGGUGCCAUUAACCCUUGCUAGCUGUGCUACGUUUGUUUUGUUUCCCUGCAAGACUACUUAUUCCUGCUACAGACUGUGCUGUUAACCCUUGCUUGUCUAUGUUGCCUGACUAAGCUUAUUACUGCAUAACCCUUAUUGACUGCCUAAGUGGGGGGAGGGGGGACUUACAUCAUUGAUUGGCUCCUAAAUCCGGGACUACAUACUUACCCAGGUUCCAGGGUUACUUCCCCCUGUGGGAAUCAGUGUUCUUCCAGCUGUAUGGAUUAACCUUAUCCUUUCCCAUCUUGUGAAGGACCCACUUCUCCAAGUACCUGUAGGAAGAGGUCAUCAUUAAGACCACACAUCGCCAGUCGGAAUUAUCUUCCCGCUACAGUUUACUUUCAGGCCACUUUUCUGUGAGCGUGUGGAUCAGCUUCUCCUGGAGUCAGUAGGGGAUCCUUUGUUACCAGUACCUGAAGACUCUAUUAAUUCUCAGGUGUAUUUGUGUUAUUGCUGCUGCUAUACAGGAUUCACCAUUUUGUCACAUUAAAUUCCUAACAGGUGUUAUGGGAAAACUCAUUAUAUUAACAUCACAUGAUAUAUACUUAAUCUACAGAUUAGGAGAGGCAGUUUCAGUUACCAUGUCAUGCAACGGCACUUUUGCGAGAUUAUACCUAAAGUUUUCAAGAAGGCAUCACAGAAGCCAGCAGAAAAAAAAGGAGUUCUUAGUUUGCACUGAUUUAGAGAACUGCCAGACACACAGAGGUAAAGGUAUAUCAACUGCAUUUAAGAAGCUAGAAAAAAAAGUCAUCUGCUUGAAACAUUGCAUUGGUUGCCAGACCUUUGCCAGUCUUUCAGACAUUUAUUGUAUCACCCUAUCAUAUCUGAGGUUAUUAUCCUUAGAUGAAUCACAGCUCCUGCAAUGGAGAACCAGUCCUGUGUGCCGUGCUGCUUAUGCCUUACAAUGCUGGAAGGGCAGAGCAUGGGUGAAAUAUGGACACCCUAUUGCACACCCCUUCAGCUAGAGUCUCCAAAACCCUAUACUUAGAAAGUUAUAAUCACAGGGGGUGUCAAUUGUUAUGCGUUAAUUAUAAUAAUUUACCUGAUAACUGGUACUCAUGUAUCUUCUGUUUAGUGAUUGAAUUGUUUAGGUUAUAUAUGCACUCUGAAGGCUUCUAAAUGAUUAUGGCAUGGUUAUUAUACAUUGUUAUUUUAAAUGAUUUAUUAUGACAGUCUCUUAUACGCAUAUCUACUUCCAUUUUCCGACUAUGCUUACUUGGGAACCCGCUGCUGGAUGAAACCGAACUUACACUGCAACUCCUGCUUUAGCACUCAUUUUACAUUGUACAUCCGAAAUUCCUAUUGUUCAUUACCAAUUCCUAUUGCCUUCCUGGUCUAGUAUUGUGUAACCCAGUUCCUUUAUUAAAUUGAUUGCUUCCUU